UUCCAUAGAAACAUUUUGAAAGCAAUGUUUUUGUUAAUAUCUAACUGUUUAGUUGUACCAUUAACAUAACUGUAUUAAGUCAAGUUACUUCUAUGGGACUGAUGCAGCUCAGCAGACCUAAAAGGUCUCAGCUGGACAUUUUUCAUUGUAAACUUGAAGGAUUUAUUAGUAUGACACUGAAUUAUAUAAUGUUAUAUAUUGUUCACUUAAAAAUAUCGUCAUUUUCAUGUUUCGCAGCACCACCUGUCCCCUUUAAUACAUCUAGCAUGCCUUCCAGUCCUUUACGCCACUCCUCUGGACAUGUUCCAGAUCUGACGCAUUCCUGAAGAUGGUUACACAGAGCCUCCAGCUGUUAGGUCUUCUUCCCACAUGCCAUCGAGCUAUAUGGACCAGAUCUCUGCCAUGUCUCUGUCAAAUGAGCAUUGCUUUAGGCCCACAUUUAGACUGGGGAAAACAGGCACUGGACCUAUUCCUUGCUCUGCUGCUCAGCUGCACAUCCUAACAUUAUUGGAACAUGUGAAGGAACAGCAAAUGCAGCUUGCUGCUGCUGUCAAUAAUCUUUCUGCACGACUGGGGACAGAGACUACUGUGGCUGAAAUGCCUCAUCAUAUCAGUAUCCCACUGGCCACUAUGCCUGAAGUUUAGGAGUUUGAGGAGUGGCUUAAAGAUUCAAGAAACGCACAGGCUAAACAAAACAUGAUAUCUGCGCUGGGUGGCAUCGGGGGACAAAACACCAAAAAAGUCACGUGGAACAUACUCUCAAGUGUUUUCUCCAAUGCAGUAGCCAAACAGAUAAACUGGAAGGGAGUCAAUGGGAAGAAGUGCUUUAAGGAAAUGCAAACAAGAAGUUUGCUGAUCAGAGCUGCAAGGAAUAACCAGUGUUUUACCAGUGUAACAGAGUGAAAUAGAUUCUCACACCAUCCGUUGGUUCAACCUUGCCUCUGACCGUGGCGGCGGCCGGAAAGAACGUGUAAGAGCCAAAGAGGCAUUAACUGAGAUGCCUCAUGGGAAUUAAACUGCAUGUCUGUAGCGGUUUGUAAUACCAGCGCAUUCCUACCUGUCCUGUUUUAUUUCUUUGUGGUGUUUAUGUUCAUCAUGUGAAGUUAUUUUGUUUAGAUUAUUUAAUUU